rnacentral:rRNA from 1 species
UCCCUUCGGGAACUNUGANACAGGUGNUGCAUGGCUNUNGUCAGCUNGUNUUGUGAAAUUUUGGGUUAANUCCCGCAACGNGNNCAACCCUUAUCNUUUNUUGCCAGCGGUUCGGCNGGGAACUCUAAGGAGACUGCCGGUGAUAAACCCGGAGGAAGGUGGGGAUGACGUCAAGUCAUCAUGGCCCUUACGGCCAGGGCUACACACGUGCUACAAUGGCGCAUACAAAGAGAAGCGACCUCGCGAGAGCAAGCGGACCUCAUAAAGUGCGUCGUAGUCCGGAUUGGAGUCUGCAACUCGACUCCAUGAAGUCGGAAUCGCUAGUAANUCGUAGAUCAAGAAUGACUCNAC